UACGUAGGGGGCAAGCGUUGUCCGUAUUUAUUGGGCGUAAAGAGCGUGUAGGCGGCCAUACAGGUCCGUUGUGAAAACUCGAGGCUCAACCUCGAGACGUCGAUGGAAACCGUAUGGCUAGAGUCCGGAAGAGGAGAGUGGAAUUCCUGGUGUAGCGGUGAAAUGCGCAGAUAUCAGGAAGAACACCCGUGGCGAAGGCGGCUCUCUGGGACGGUACUGACGCUGAGACGCGAAAGCGUGGGGAGCGAACAGG
rnacentral:rRNA from 1 species